rnacentral:rRNA from 1 species
UACGUAGGGAGCAAGCGUUGUCCGGAAUCAUUGGGCGUAAAGCGCGCGUAGGCGGCCUCAUAAGUCCGUUGUGAAAGUCAAAGGCUCAACCUUUGAAAGCCGAUGGAUACUGUGAGGCUAGAGUCCGGAAGAGGCGAGUGGAAUUCCUGGUGUAGCGGUGGAAUGCGCAGAUAUCAGGAGGAACACCAAUAGCGAAGGCAGCUCGCUGGGACGGUACUGACGCUAAGGGCGCGAAAAGCGUGGGGAGC